UACGAAGGGGGCUAGCGUUGCUCGGAAUCACUGGGCGUAAAGGGUGCGUAGGCGGGUUUCUAAGUCAGAGGUGAAAUCCUGGAGCUCAACUCCAGAACUGCCUUUGAUACUGGAAGUCUUGAGUAUGGGAGAGGUGAGUGGAACUGCGAGUGUAGAGGUGAAAUUCGUAGAUAUUCGCAAGAACACCAGUGGCGAAGGCGGCUCACUUGCCCAUUACUGACGCUGAGGCACGAAAGCGUGGGGAGCAAACAGG
rnacentral:rRNA from 1 species